ACUCAAAUGAAUUGACGGGGGCCCGCACAAGCGGCGGAGCAUGUGGAUUAAUUCGAUGCAACGCGAAGAACCUUACCUGGGUUUGACAUGCGCCAGACAGCUCCAGAGAUGGGGUUUCCUUUUAGGUUGGUGUACAGGUGGUGCAUGGCUGUCGUCAGCUCGUGUCGUGAGAUGUUGGGUUAAGUCCCGCAACGAGCGCAACCCUUGCCCUAUGUUGCCAGCGGGUGAUGCCGGGGACUCGUAGGGGACUGCCGGGGUCAACUCGGAGGAAGGUGGGGAUGACGUCAAGUCAUCAUGCCCCUUAUGUCCAGGGCUUCACACAUGCUACAAUGGCCAGUACAGAGGGUUGCGAUGCCGUGAGGUGGAGCGAAUCCCGUAAAGCUGGUCUCAGUUCGGAUCGGGGUCUGCAACUCGGCCCCGUGAAGCCGGAGUCGCUAGUAAUCGCAGAUCAGCAGUGCUGCGGUGAAUACGUUCCCGGGCCUUGUACACACCGCCCGU
rnacentral:rRNA from 1 species